AUGGAUCGAUGCCAGGACUGGGAUCGCUGGUGAAGAACCAGCAACUAGUGAACGCGGUUGUCCAAAGGUUUCAAAGAUAGCAUGACCCCUACAACAGCUGCCAUGAGCUUCGGGGCCGACAACCAUGGCGUUGUGGGCUUGCCCACUUCCUUAAUGGGCCUUGGUGUGGACGCCUACGAGCCCACUCGGGUCCCUUCUCUACCUCCUGACAUCACCGGCGUCACCGCCGGGGCAUUACCACUCCCUGCCCGUCAUUUCCGAAGGUCAGCUUUGGGCAUGGGGCUGAGACCUCGAGGCCCAGCUCGGCCGUGGAAGUCCUUCUCCGAGUGAUUCGUGGAAUGAACCAAUGAGAGUAACGGGACUGGAUCAAGUAAAUGUUUGCUCUGCAUUUGCAUCCGGUGUCAUUUCUGCGGCCAUUGGAGAUGAUGGUUCUCUGUGGGUUUGGGGAAAGUCAAAGCGUGGCCAACUUGGUCUGGGAGAGCUAGUCAUGGAGGCUGUGGAGUUGAAGCACUUGCUGGAGAGAAAAUAACUACCAAGUACCAACCGUGGAUGUAAGGGAUGACAGCCAUCGACGGCUUGGGAGUGAUGACCGGCACUUCCAGUUCGGAAAUCCCAAAACUGGUAUCUGGGUGUUGAGUUGAUUCAUUUGGUGAUCUUGAAUUGGUGAAUAUUCACCAUGUCUGAUCACUAUGAUGUUCAGAGUGCUAACACCAUUGAGGGAAAGCGUGUGGUUCACUCGUUCAAGAACUACACCAAGCUCGAAAAUGUGGGAGCUGAGCAUUACUACUGUAGAUUUGAGUACAAGGUUGCUACUGGGGGCUUUUACUCCUGAUAGAGUUGCUAUGUAUUUCAAGUCUGAGAUGCCGUAUAACCCGGAUGACCUCAUGGUGCAGUGUGAGGAGUGCAAAGACUGGUUUCAUCCAGCAUGCGUGAACAUUAUCUCAAAUGAAGUAGCCAAAAAAUUGGUCUAUGGGAGUUGUUAACAUUUAUAGAAGGCAGCAUUUUGUUAAUUAUCCGGGAAGUCUUUGCCUGAACGGAUUGUUUGUUUGCUAUUCAGCAUGUGCUAUUGAGUGGACCCUAAGCACCGAAAGAAAUGACUUAAAUUGCAAGAGGCGAUACAAAAUGCAGUGCUGCUGUUUGUGUUCUUGCUGGUGCUCUUGGAUUGCUAUCAUGUGGUUUGUGGAUUUGGAGUAGGGUUUCCGGAGGGUUUCAGGACUUGAUAUCCAGGAGAUUAGGCUUGUAUUGAAAGUUUUAUUUUUGUAUCUCAACAAUCAAACCGUGGAAUGACUGGAAUCUCUUGGUAUGACAAAUUGCUGGUUGCGACU